rnacentral:tRNA from 1 species
UAGUGCUACGCCGGAUGAACGGAAAUCAUUGAUGUUGAUUAAUAUGGGAUGUUAUAAUUCUCUAGCACUAA